CAGUAGCCGCGGGAAUACGGAGGGUGCUAGCGUUGUUCGGAAUCACUGGGCGUAAAGGGCGCGUAGGCGGCCUGUUAAGUCGGAUGUGAAAGCCCGGGGCUCAACCCCGGAACUGCAUCCGAGACUGGCAGGCUUGAGACCGGGAGAGGAGGGUGGAAUAUCCAGUGUAGAGGUGAAAUUCGUAGAUAUUGGAUGGAACACCGGUGGCGAAAGCGGCUCUCUGGCCCGGAUCUGACGCUGAGGCGCGAAAGCGUGGGGAGCAAACAGGAUUAGAUACCCCUGUAGUCCCUGUCUCUUAUAC
rnacentral:rRNA from 1 species